GCGGGGCUCCUUCCCGCUCCCUGCAGCCCUUUCCGCUGCGGUGUGUUUCGGGUGUUGCGUCCCGCGGAGCUCUGAGCACGUGCGGAGUAGCCAACUGCCAGUUUCAGGAGAUGGCCAAUCCAGGAUGACGUGAAAGUAAGGUGGUUUUCACUCUUCUGCAGAAGGGAAGCAGAAGCCCAUGACUGCAUGUGUAGUCUUCAGGUCAGUGUAUUCUAGUACUGACUGCCUCUGCUAGGGCUAUUGACUACUUGGUAUCUCUCAGGAAACAAUUGGAAGCAAAUUCACCUAUGUUUGUCCUUGAACAGAUUUAUUCUGGGCAGUGAGUAGAAUUUUGGUGGUUUGACAGUAUGAAAGAUCUUUGUGGUGUAAUUUAUAGGGAUAUUUUAAGUUCCAGAAGACAAAGUAGAAUAUGUCUUGCUCUGUUCACUGCUAGAUUCCAAGUUCAGUCCCUACCAAAUGGCAGGAACUCUCUGAUGUUGGAAAACUGCUGAAAGCAUGUGAAAUGCUUCCAUGCCUGUCUUGCAGUCAACAGCUACCUGCUAAUGAUGUCUUCUAUGUGGAUUACCAAUGUACAUGAAAUUGAAAUGGGAAAUGUUUCAGGAAUAAUCCAACAGUUGUCAGCUAUCUAGGCUAGUGCAAUGCCUAUGAUUGUGUUACAGUGUUGGAAGAGCAAGCACUACCUUUUUGAGGUUUGGCUCCAAGCACUGUUUUGGUGUUGUGGCUGGAUACCUUUGGGCAGUGUUUUGCACCUCUGAGAGUGGAAUGGCUCCUCCUGUGGAGUUGGUCCUAGUCUGGGUGCAAACAGGUCUUUUGGGU